AGUACAGAAAGAUAAGGUGUGACUAUGCACUAUUUCUCCCCUUUCAGUGUCUCUACUGGUGCUCAGGGAAUUCAGUAUGUGGUAUAAUGGCUGCAGAAGUCGGGGAAGGGCACCCAUGCAGAACUGAAAAUCCUUAUCUACAUUAAUGGGAGCAUCCUGCACCGAUUUCUAUACCAGAUUUAACCAACAUAUGGCAUGCAAAAUACAGGCCAAUGUUGGAGACCCAGGAAACCAAGGAGAGCGCCCACAGAAUUUGAAGUUUUCCUGGUGACCCUUAUCCAGAUCUAAGCAGUGUCAUGUGGGUCUCUGGGAACAGAACUGAAGAGAUAAUUGGCAGCUGCGCUCAAGAACAACUGUAACAUCAGCAAAAUAGAAGUCAGAGAUGACCUGAGUACAAAAUGGUUGUUGAACUGAAUAGAAAGCACAC